rnacentral:lncRNA from 1 species
UCGCACGGCAGGACCGAACGAGGCUACGGCGUUGGGCGUGGGGCUAGCCUGUGACUCUCUGCCCAGGUGUACGUCACUGUCACCUGUGGAACUUCUUGAACAACACCUGUUGCCCGGGCUCCUCCCAGGACCGAUUAAAUCAAGAUCUCUGGAGCGGAGUCCAGGUAUCAUAUUUUUCAGGCUCUCUAGAGGAGUCUCAAAUGGAGCCAGGGCUGGCACCUUCUGGAAAGCCAGAGGGAGGAAGAGGCACAAAGAAGGAAGUGGCUGCUCCACGAGUUAGCUGGAAAACGCUUGUAUUACGGCCAUGGGGAGGGGACAGCAGAGUGUGGGGAGCUGCUCCCCCUCGCACAGCUGGUUAGCACCAGGGCCGGGACUACCACUGGGCUCCGGAUGCGUUGCUCUUUUCCACUGAAGGUUGAACACUGAAUCCGGUGAAGUAUUAGGGGUGGUGGGGAUUCCGCGAUAGCUUACAUGGCAUUUCUGAAAAUCUUCAAUGUGUUUAAAAAUGAAAAUAAUGUGGACUUCUCACCUUACCUCCUUGUUAAUGUUUGGCUGGAGGGUGGGAUGGCUUGAGCGUUAUUAGAAUUGACACGAACCACAGAUGCCACUACAUUGAAAAAAACAAGGUGGGGGCGGGGGGGUUGCUGUCCUCUGCCCAAUUGCACGGUCUGCUUCCCUGUGAGGCUUUGUCCCAGGGGCUUGACGCCAAACCAGAAAACUCUGGGGAACAGCAUUGCUGCAAAGAGCCCAGUCUCGCUCCAGGCAGAUAAACCAGAUGAUUUGGUUACGGCUUCAUCGGCCCGACUCAGUCCUGCAUGGCUGCUUUCCUUAAGAAAUCGAGAGUAAAACUGAAUUUUAAAAAAUAAUGAAAACCACUCUAUAUCUCUCCUAUGGAUCUGAAGUCAAAGAAGGGUGGAGCUGAGUUUCUGUGUUCAGAGGGCUUUUCCAGGGAAGUGACAGGUGGGGUGUAGACCUAACGUGGAAUCCUGGAAAUGGGCUGGCUGCAAGUAUUCACCUUCGAAUCAAUUGCAAAUGCCUUUCUGGCUGCCCACCACCUCCGACUGCAGCCCUCACCUAGUCUCGUUUUAAGGUACAG